CAGCCGCCGCGGUAAUACCGGCGGCCCGAGUGGCGGUCACUAUUAUUGGGCUUAAAGCGUCCGUAGCCGGGUUGGGAAGUCCUCCGGGAAAUCUGGCCGCUUAAAGGUCAGAAUGCCGGAGGAUACUCCCAGCCUAGGGAGCGGGAGAGGCCGAGGGUAUUCCCGGAGUAGGGGUGGAAUCCUAUAAUCCCGGGAGGACCACCUGUUGCGAAGGCGCUCGGCUGGAACGCGUCCGACGGUGAGGGACGAAGGCCAGGGGAGCAAACCGGAUUAGAUACCCGGGUAGUCCUGGCUGUAAACGAUGCGGACUUUGUGUCGGACAAGCUAUGAGCUUGUCCGGUGCCGGAGGGAAACCGUUAAGUCCGCCGCCUGGGGAGUACGGCCGCAAGGUUGAAACUUAAAGGAAUUGGCGGG
rnacentral:rRNA from 1 species